UCGCUUCUUCGAAUUCCAAA
rnacentral:snRNA from 1 species